UACGUAGGGUGCGAGCGUUGUCCGGAAUUACUGGGCGUAAAGAGCUCGUAGGCGGUUUGUCGCGUCUGCUGUGAAAACCCAGGGCUUAACCCUGGGCUUGCAGUGGAUACGGGCAGACUAGAGGCAGGUAGGGGAGAAUGGAAUUCCCGGUGUAGCGGUGAAAUGCGCAGAUAUCGGGAGGAACACCGGUGGCGAAGGCGGUUCUCUGGGCCUGACCUGACGCUGAGGAGCGAAAGCGUGGGGAGCGAACAGG
rnacentral:rRNA from 1 species